UAGGGAAUCUUCCACAAUGGACGCAAGUCUGAUGGAGCAACGCCGCGUGAGUGAAGAAGGCUUUCGGGUCGUAAAACUCUGUUAUUGAAGAAGAACGUGUGUGACAGUAACUGGUCAUGCAGUGACGGUAUUCAAUCAGAAAGUCACGGCUAACUACGUGCCAGCAGCCGCGGUAAUACGUAGGUGGCAAGCGUUGUCCGGAUUUAUUGGGCGUAAAGCGAGUGCAGGCGGUCUUUUAAGUCUGAUGUGAAAGCCUUCGGCUUAACCGAAGAAGGGCAUCGGAAACUGGGAGACUUGAGUGCAGAAGAGGAGAGUGGAACUCCAUGUGUAGCGGUGAAAUGCGUAGAUAUAUGGAAGAACACCAGUGGCGAAGGCGGCUCUCUGGUCUGUAACUGACGCUGAGGCUCGAAAGCGUGGGUAGCAAACAGGAUUAGAUACCCUGGUAGUCCACGCCGUAACGAUG
rnacentral:rRNA from 1 species